rnacentral:rRNA from 1 species
UACGUAGGGCGCAAGCGUUGUCCGGAUUUAUUGGGCGUAAAGAGCUCGUAGGCGGUUUGUCGCGUCUUCCGUGAAAACUGGGGGCUUAACUUCCAGCUUGCGGUGGAUACGGGCUGACUGGAGUGCGGCAGGGGAGACUGGAAUUCCUGGUGUAGCGGUGAAAUGCGCAGAUAUCGAGAGGAACACCUGCGGCGAAGGCGGGUUGCUGGGCCGACACUGACGCUGAUGCGCGAAAGCCAGGGGAGCGAACGGG